GUGAAGGAGGAUCAGCAGGUCCUUGGAUAUCUACUCCAACACUUGUCCAAGGAAGUGCUCGUCACGGUGACCACGAUCACCACGGCGCGCGAACUCUGGGUGGCGCUGGCGAGCAUGUUCUCGUCGUAGUCACUCAGCCGCGUCAACAACAUCCGCACAGCGCUGAUUAAUGCGCAGAAGGGCAAUCAAUCGGUGGCCACCUUCUUCGCCGCCAUGAGGGGUCUCGCCGAUGAACUCACCGCGGCGGGAAAACCCAUCCAGGAUGACGAGCUCAUCUCCUACGUCAUCCAC
rnacentral:rRNA from 1 species